GGAAGUAAAAGUCGUAACAAGGUUUCCGUAGGUGAACCUGCGGAAGGAUCAUUAUUGAAUAUUCUUGAUGGGUUGUAGCUGGCUCUUCGGGGUAUGUGCACGCCUGUCUUGAUUCUAUUCAUCCACCUGUGCACCUUUUGUAGUCUUGGGGGUUGAGAACAGUCAACUAUCGGAUGGCUAUUGUAGUCUUUCUGGACGUGAGGAUUGCUGAGUGCGAAAGCAUACGGCUUUUCUCAAACUGACUUGUAAACUCUCCUUCGAGUACUAUGUUUUCAUACACCACAUAGUAUGUUGUAGAAUGUGAUCAAUGGGCCUAUGUGCCUAUAACAAUCAUAUACAACUUUCAGCAACGGAUCUCUUGGCUCUCGCAUCGAUGAAGAACGCAGCGAAAUGCGAUAAGUAAUGUGAAUUGCAGAAUUCAGUGAAUCAUCGAAUCUUUGAACGCACCUUGCGCUCCUUGGUAUUCCGAGGAGCAUGCCUGUUUGAGUGUCAUUAAAUUCUCAACCCCUCCAGCUUUUGUAAGCUGUGAUGGGGCUUGGAAGUUGGGAGUUUGCGGGCUUCUAUAGUAGAGGUCGGCUCUCCUUAAAUGCAUUAGCGGAACCGUUUGCAGUCCCGUCACUAGUGUGAUAAUUAUCUACACUGUGAUGAUUGCUCUCUGGCUUGUUCAGCUUCUAAUCGUCCUUUACCGGACAAUGUAUAAUGAACAUCUUGACCUCAAAUCAGGUAGGACUACCCGCUGAACUUAAGCAUAUCAAUAAGCGGAGGA
rnacentral:rRNA from 1 species